rnacentral:lncRNA from 1 species
AUGGAGUCCAAAUUACUUCACUUUAAUGUGAAGAUUCAUAUUGAUUACCAAUUAAUUUUAAUGUGUCGAUUUUUAAUGUAUUGAUUGAUUUUAAUGUGUUGGUUUUAAUUGGUUUUAAUGUGGAAAUUCACCAUAAUUACCUAAUGAACUUAAAACAUGGACUUUAAAUUAAUGAUAUCGGACCUCUCUCUAUUACCCCACGAUUACAAUAUUACGGUCAUGUCCCGCGAAUAUGGGGAUAUCCUUAGCAAAGACCCUUCGGUAAAAUCAUCAUAGUCCCUCGGAUGUUGCCUUCGAAAAUACGAUGUUGUCCCUCGAUGACCCUUCGGUGUAGCCUACGGUUAAAUGAUGAUAGUCCCUUCGAAUGCUAAGGUAUCCUCACAACUGUUGCCUUCAAU